GAUGAACGCUGGCGGCGUGCCUAAUACAUGCAAGUCGAGCGAACAGACGAGGAGCUUGCUCCUUUGACGUUAGCGGCGGACGGGUGAGUAACACGUGGGUAACCUACCUAUAAGACUGGGAUAACUUCGGGAAACCGGAGCUAAUACCGGAUAAUAUUUCGAACCGCAUGGUUCGAUAGUGAAAGAUGGCUUUGCUGUCACUUAUAGAUGGACCUGCGCCGUAUUAGCUAGUUGGUAAGGUAACGGCUUACCAAGGCAACGAUCCGUAGCCGACCUGAGAGGGUGAUCGGCCACGCUGGAACUGAGACACGGUCCAGACUCCUACGGGAGGCAGCAGUAGGGAAUCUUCCGCAAUGGGCGAAAGCCUGACGGAGCAACGCCGCGUGAGUGAUGAAGGUCUUCGGAUCGUAAAGCUCUGUUAUUAGGGAAGAACAAACGUGUAAGUAACUGUGCACGUCUUGACGGUACCUAAACAGAAAGCCACGGCUAACUACGUG
rnacentral:rRNA from 1 species